rnacentral:rRNA from 1 species
AGUGAACGCUGGCGGUAGGCCUAACACAUGCAAGUCGAACGGCAGCACAGUAAGAGCUUGCUCUUACGGGUGGCGAGUGGCGGACGGGUGAGGAAUACAUCGGUAUCUACUUGUUCGGGGGGGAUAACGUAGGGAAACUCACGUUAAUACCGCAUACGACCUACGGGUGAAAGCAGGGGGUCUUCGGACCUUGCGCGAUUGAAUGAGUGGAUGUCGGAUUAGCUAGUUGGCGGGGUAAAGGCCGACCAAGGCGACGAACCGUAGCUGGUCUGAGAGGGUGGUCCGCCACACUGGAACUGAGACACGGUCCAGACUCCUACGGGAGGCAGCAGUGGGGAAUAUUGCGCAAUGGGCGAAAGCCUGAUCCAGCAAUACCGCGUGGGUGAUGAAGGCCUUCGGGUUGUAAAGCCCUUUUGUUGGGAAAGAAAAAAAGCAGGUUAAUCCCCGGCUGUUCUGACGGUACCCAAAGAAUAAGCACCGGCUAACUACGUG